ACUCCUACGGGAGGCAGCAGUGGGGAAUAUUGCACAAUGGGCGCAAGCCUGAUGCAGCCAUGCCGCGUGUAUGAAGAAGGCCUUCGGGUUGUAAAGUACUUUCAGCGGGGAGGAAGGCGAUAAGGUUAAUAACCUUGUCGAUUGACGUUACCCGCAGAAGAAGCACCGGCUAACUCCGUGCCAGCAGCCGCGGUAAUACGGAGGGUGCAAGCGUUAAUCGGAAUUACUGGGCGUAAAGCGCACGCAGGCGGUCUGUCAAGUCGGAUGUGAAAUCCCCGGGCUCAACCUGGGAACUGCAUUCGAAACUGGCAGGCUAGAGUCUUGUAGAGGGGGGUAGAAUUCCAGGUGUAGCGGUGAAAUGCGUAGAGAUCUGGAGGAAUACCGGUGGCGAAGGCGGCCCCCUGGACAAAGACUGACGCUCAGGUGCGAAAGCGUGGGGAGCAAACAGGAUUAGAAACCCCUGUAGUCC
rnacentral:rRNA from 1 species